rnacentral:rRNA from 1 species
AAUUACGUGCCAGCAGCCGCGGUAAUACGUAGGGUGCGAGCGUUAUCCGGAAUUAUUGGGCGUAAAGAGCUCGUAGGCGGUUUGUCGCGUCUGUCGUGAAAGUCCGGGGCUUAACCCCGGAUCUGCGGUGGGUACGGGCAGACUAGAGUGCAGUAGGGGAGACUGGAAUUCCUGGUGUAGCGGUGGAAUGCGCAGAUAUCAGGAGGAACACCGAUGGCGAAGGCAGGUCUCUGGGCUGUAACUGACGCUGAGGAGCGAAAGCAUGGGGAGCGAACAGGAUUAGAUACCCUGGUAGUCCAUGCCGUAAACGUUGGGCACUAGGUGUGGGGACCAUUCCACGGUUUCCGCGCCGCAGCUAACGCAUUAAGUGCCCCGCCUGGGGAGUACGGCCGCAAGGCUAAAACUCAAAGGAAUUGACGGGGGCCCGCACAAGCGGCGGAGCAUGCGGAUUAAUUCGAUGCAACGCGAAGAACCUUACCAAGGCUUGACAUGUUCUCGAUCGCCGUAGAGAUACGGUUUCCCCUUUGGGGCGGGUUCACAGGUGGUGCAUGGUUGUCGUCAGCUCGUGUCGUGAGAUGUUGGGUUAAGUCCCGCAACGAGCGCAACCCUCGUUCCAUGUUGCCAGCACGUAAUGGUGGGGACUCAUGGGAGACUGCCGGGGUCAACUCGGAGGAAGGUGAGGACGACGUCAAAUCAUCAUGCCCCUUAUGUCUUGGGCUUCACGCAUGCUACAAUGGCCGGUACAAUGGGUUGCGAUACUGUGAGGUGGAGCUAAUCCCAAAAAGCCGGUCUCAGUUCGGAUUGGGGUCUGCAACUCGACCCCAUGAAGUCGGAGUCGCUAGUAAUCGCAGAUCAGCAACGCUGCGGUGA